CCCACAUCCAUGUAUGUAGAACUCCAAAGGAUCACCAUUAAAUUUAGUACAGAUCUCUAGAAAAGUUAUCAUAUGGGUAUGGGAUUUGACUUUUUUAGAUAUCUGUGCCAAAUUUAAUGGUGAUCCUCUGGGGUCCUACACACCUGGGUGUGGG
rnacentral:pre_miRNA from 1 species